ensembl:lncRNA
CCUCUGGUGGGCCGCAGGGGGCUUGUGACCUGAGUUGGAAGACGGAGGGCAGGUGGCCUUGGAUCGCCUCGGGGAUCUGACGGCCAGAGUUUGGUCAGGCUCUAGAGAUCUGUGCUCUAGUGGACAGGGCAAGGCCAGACGCACAACUUGGAGGCCAGGCAGCCUCUGUGUCCCCAGAGCCUCACUUGUGGGCAGGACACAGCUAAGGACUGUGCUCCCUGGUGCUGGUGUCGCUAAGACCCCGGCCCUCAGGCUCCACAUUGGGCUUCUGCUCCACCCCUUCGAAAACCCAGGUCCUGACCUCCUCUUGGCCUCUGCCAGCGAGGUCCGACCUGUCCUUUGUCCCCCCAGGGCCUCAUCCUGUCCUCUAGGCUGUGUGUGUGGGGGGGCAGCCGGCCCCCCUCUGCCCUGCGCUGUGGGGCUGCGGGGCCUGCCAUGCUCCCCUCCGCCAGGGCUGCCCCUAUCUUGGGCCACUGCUGCUUGGAUGCUCCUCUCUCCUGACUCCUGCCCCACCCUGUCUCUCAGGGCCUGAGAGUUGGGUUCUCGGCUCCCUCUCAGCUCGGUGGCCCCAGCAUCGUGACCGCUGACCUCCUGAGGAGGGAGGAAGCGGUGUCUUCACCGCAAGACAGGGCCCUCCUGAUGGCAUUGCCCCAGAGCCCUCGUGGGGACAGGGUCAGGCUCAACCCUGGGGAUCCCAGAGCCACGACUGAGGAGGGGGUGCCCAGCCUGCACCCCGACCUGGACACAGCGGCAGGAUGGCCUGUAGUGGCCAAGGGAUCUGGUCUGCCCAGCAGCGCCCAGCACCCCUGGGGACAUCUUCCUGGAGUCACCUCAGCCACCCCUCCCCAGAGUGUCUCAGGCCUUAAAGUCACGCUCCUUCCUGCCAGCUGUCUCCUCUUCCUCCCCCGUCCGGAGGCACGCCUGCACGGAGACAGCCUGGCCUCAGCUUACCUCCCGGACCCCGUCGCUGCAAGGAUGCCCUGAAGGGGGCUGGGGGCAUUCCAGCCCGGGGCUUCCAGUGGUCAGAGGCAGCUGGGUGGUGCCAGGAUGUCCGGGGAGUCUCUGUGGCUGGCUGGUCAGCUGGGCCCCAUGCUGCCAGGAGCUGUCUGGGCAGGAGUGCAGCCCUGUCUGAAGGGCUGGGGAGGUGCUGGCCUGGCAGGGCAGCGGGGCCACAGCCCGCCAGCUCCUGCAGUCCCCCGAGCCCACUGGCUGUCACGCAGCUGGGGCUCCUCACCUCUUCCUGUGCCGCGCGCCACCUCAGCCCUCCUUCCUGUCUGAUUUCAAAAGCCAACAGCCUUACAGACGAAUCAAUGAGCCGCGGCUGCUCUAGCCAGCUCCCUGGCUCUGACACCGCCCCCUAAGUUAGAGGCCGGGGUGCUGCCCGGGUCUUGCUUUGAGGAUGGAGUGCCCGUGCAGGCCUGAUGCUCAGGGGAAAGGGGUCCAGCCAGGGCCCAAAGGAAAGCAGACUCACCAUCAGCACACCUGUGCAUUUUGGGGGCUGGUAGGGAAACCAGGCCUGCAGUUGGCACGUUCAGUGACUUGCCCAAGGCCACCCAGCAGGGAGCUGGCCUUGCCAGGGCUGAGACAGUGUCUUCCACGCCCAGGUCAGCCUGCUGCCAUCCAGUGUGCCCUCCUCACCCUUCCUGACCCAUUGGCUUUCCUUCUCUCCUUCACCCAGCAGGCAGCUUGGCCUCAGCAGUAACCCACAGUCUCUUCCUGCGUCACAGGCCCCCAAGGCAGGUCGGCGUCACUUGAAACAGCAGACUGUGGCGGUUCACGCAGGGCCCUGGAGGUGGACCUCAGCACACAGGCUGCACUGAAGGAACAGCCCAGAGUGGACAACAGGAAAAAAGUUACAAUAGAGGAAAAAUACAGGACCCCCUCUGGCGACAGGAAGCAGACCACUUAACGUGAGGCUGCUGAGAAAAGCGAGUGACAAGGCGGGAGCAAAGUGAUGGGGACAUCAGUUUUCCUCAGAAAGCAA